AACGCACAUUGCGCCCAUUGGUAUUCCGAUGGGCAUGCCUGUUCGAGCGUCAUUAUCCUCCCUCAAACCUCGUGUUUGGUGUUAGACCGCGUUGGCCGAGCGACCAACUGGUCUCAAAGACAAUGACGGCGUCCGUGGGACCCUCGGUGCAACGAGCUUCUAAGGAGCACGCGUCGAGUUUCAAGGACCCUCCGGGCCGGUCUUGACCUCUAUCUUCUCAGGUUGACCUCGGAUCAGGUAGGAAUACCCGCUGAACUUAA
rnacentral:misc_RNA from 1 species